UUGGAGAGGCCUGUAGCAUUCUUGAAUCAGUUCCGUCUGCCUAUUUUACCAGCACCGUUAUUUUAGUUGAAUCCACUCGCGGAAAGCAGCGAAAAAGUGCGGCUGAUCCCUUCUCGACUCCGUUCGUUGACAUCUGAGACAAGAGACAAAAGAACUGAUGCAUCUUUGUGUUGUCCGUCUCUGAAGUCAGGAGUCUGCAUUUAUUUGGAAACACAAUCUCUUUCCUUGAGAACGAGUAGCCUUUUAAAACGGAUGACAUGCCGGUGGACCCAAGAGAUGGUUCCCCAGCCAGUUGUGUAUACAGUCCUGUGGGCAUAAUGUGCACGCUGGUCCCCAAGUCCUAAGUUGUAUAUGUUUAAACCUAUAUGUUCAUCUGUGCUGUGUGCGGAGGAGCUGCUCUGACGUUUGUCUUGAGUUUCACCGAGUCCCAAGGCUGCCUGCAAAACACCGCCAAAUAAGCUCAGGCACCUUCAGCUGCCCCCGAUAGCCAUUCUGCUUUCUGCUUCGAGGCCACCCUGGCAGGCGGAAGUCCAGAUCAGUGCCUAUUCCAGCUGUCAUCAGAGAGGCCUUCCUUAGCAGCUGAUGGGAGGAGAUGCAGAAGCUCAAAGACAAACACUCAGCAGAGAGAUUGCCCAGACUGGAGAUCUCCAUCAGGUUCCUCCCCUUGGAACCUGGGAAACUCCUGAGGAAGAGGGAGAAGAAGGCACCAGAGGAGGUGGAGGACACCGGGAGAACAUGGCCCACAGAAUCAACUAAGCAGGACUCCUAAGGGCUGAAGGACACUGAAGCGUCCAUCAUGAGACCUGCAUGGGUCUGCACUAGUGGUGAAUUCCUGAUAAUUUCCAAAACACCAGGCAAAGAAAGGGCAGGAGAGACAGAGGAGCUCUUACAGAAAAGGUCAGAAUUCAGAAGCAUCGCAAUUCCUGGAACUAGAAGAAUGUAACAUGACACCCUUGAAUCUUGAGGAGAAAGGGUUUUCAACUAAGCAAACUUCUUGUACCCUGGUACAUUUUCAAUCCUGUAUAAGAUUAGAAUAAGGACAAACAGGCAAAGAUUCCAUAAUUUCCCAUAUAUUUUUCUCAGGCAAUUUGAAGGCUGUUUCUUUUCAGGUUCCAUAGGUCAAGGAAGAAGAACGCAUGGGCCCAGAGAGAACAGUAUGCCAUAGAAUCAAGAACAGAACAGCGGAGAGCCGGUAAAAGGAGAAACAGUGGUCAGUUGUACUUGGUCCUAAAUAUUGAGAGGACCCCAGUGAUGAAUUAAUGGCAAACACAUGGAGAAGGCUAAGGCUAAGGGGAAGAGCUGGUUAGAGGUUCAGCAGGCGAGGGGGCUUGGCACCAAGCCUGAUAAUGUGGGUUCAAUUGAACCCACAUGGUGGAAAGAAAACAAACUCCCACAGAUUGCCCUUUGGCCUUCUUCUGUGCUAUGGUAUACACACACACACACACACACACACACACACACACACACACAGAGAGAGAGAGAGAGAGAGAG